rnacentral:rRNA from 1 species
AACGUAGGGGGCAAGCGUUGUCCGGAUUCAUUGGGCGUAAAGAGCUCGUAGGCGGUUCGAUAAGUCGGGUGUGAAACCUCCAGGCUCAACCUGGAGACGCCACCCGAUACUGUCGUGACUAGAGUCCAGUAGGGGAGCGUGGAAUUCCUGGUGUAGCGGUGAAAUGCGCAGAUAUCAGGAGGAACACCAGCGGCGAAGGCGGCGCUCUGGGCUGGAACUGACGCUGAGGAGCGAAAGCGUGGGGAGCGAACAGG